CUUCCCUGGCAAUGGGCAAAAAGACACCUUGUUGGUGGUGGUGGUUUUAUAUUAGUCAGGGGCAGAGCAGACAGCAGUACUUUGUUCAUCCUAACUUGAUGCCUGGUUUGGUAUCCAAAUCUGUUUUAUGCCUAGGACUCAUAA